rnacentral:lncRNA from 1 species
CAUUGUAAAUCAUCCCAAGUAUCAAUAAGAAUACUCCUCUCUCUCCCUAUUCUCUCUAUAUUGUUCUUGUCUUUUAUAUUAUUUCAUAACAUAAUUUCAAUUGUGUAUAAUAUUUCCUUGACCCAAUUCACUCAACAAGAGUAAUCAGUGGCCUCUUAAUUUUCUUUAACUAAAUUUACUCACAUUUAAUAUGUCAAAAUUAAAUCCAAGACAUUCACCUUGAUAAAAUAGCUAUCUUUUACUAUUCAAAUACUAAUAAACACUCUAAAUUAAUAACAUGCUAGUCAUGAAAGAUUCACAAAAAAGAAAACUCAUGUUUUCCUUCACUUAACAAUUAUAAAGUGGAUUAAUGGAGACUUCUAGAUGCUCACUUUUGCUUAAACUGGCACAACAGAAAGAAAUAGGCGAAGGGAUUAUCUCCUCUAAUAAAAUAGCUUCAUAAUUCAAAUGAGAUUUUAUCAAUGUAAAAGGGAUAUAAUAAUAGUAAAGACUCAAAUAACCUACCAGUAUAUUGGAACUCCAAAAUUUAAAAGAAACAAGAAAAAGAAUAUUCACAUCUAAUUCAUUGUGGGAAGUCUAUGGUAGCUUAUCAUUCCAAUAACUAUAUAAAACUACAAAGUAGUGUUUCAGCAAACAUAUUAGGAGCAAUUUCAAACUAGCAGUUAAAACAACUUAAACAAAUGGCCAAAUGAAUUUAGCUCUGCUCCAACAAUCAAAACAGGUUUCAAUCUUGGUUUAUUGCUAUGAAAAUAUGAAUUACAAAGGCUCAAAAGUUACAUGAGGAGCAGAAAUAUGAUGCAAGAGUGAAAUGCGAGCAGAAAACAACAGCAGGACAACAAGGAAACAACACCAAGAUGGACGUUUGAACAUCCUAAAAUUUUUAGAGUCGAAGCCCAAAACAAGUUCUAAAAGAUUUUAUCUUUCUGAAAGAGUUUUCACUCUAAGAAACCUUCACGAAACUCACAAUUUCAGCUUAUUAUUAUAUAUUUUUAGCUGUUGAUUUUUCUCUAAACAUUUUGUGUAUCUAAACAACUCUUCAAGAUGUCCUCUGUGUAAAUAAGAAUGUUCAGUAUUUUAUAAGAGGAGACAAUGCAUUCAUGAUUGAAAAUCUGUCCAUAAGACAUAUUUCUCAGCAAAAAUCUGCUAUAACUAUUUAAAUGACAGACUUUUGGUUCAAAAAUCUGUCCAAAGGAUAAUUUUUUGCCAACUGUGAAUAGUAUUAGGAGCUGUAUACUCCCAACAACCUUUAAACAAUAAAAAGCAGCAAACAAGUACCCUACUCUCAUGAUCAGACAUAUUUAUUCUUUAGCUUUUCAACAAUCAAUACAAGUCCUAGUUUGCUUCAAAACAAAACUAAAGACAAGUAACUAGAACUUAAUUAAUCUACCACAAACAUGUAACUAAACCUUAAUACUGAACCUUUAACCAAUCAAGAGAACUUAAAACCUAAUGACUAAAACGAAACCAAGCAAGACACAUGUUAACAGAGAAAAUAAUUUAGUGAAAACAUUUGACUAAGUGAAGACGAAACUGAAAACUAUGUAGAAAAUGAACUAAAAUGGACCACUAACAGAACUUACACUACUACAAUAACUACAACAAAGUAGUAGGCAACAGAAAUUAGAAACCUAAAGAAAGAAUUAGGUUCUUGUUAGAGUCCAAAAACUUUGAAACUUCAGUUAAUUAGCAUAAUGAAUUAAACGUGAAAUAACAGAAACUACAAUUGAAGCUAAAAUUUAUAAACUUGAAUCUACAACUAACUUUAAACACCAUUAGCAGAACAUAAGAGACAGGAAUCCAAACAACAAAAUAUUUUAAGAUCAAGGAACGACGACUAAUCAUUACUGACUCCUAACUAACUAACGGCUAACUAAAGAUAAAUAAAACACACGGUCAAACAAAGAAAAAAAAUCAAAAAUUUUAGACCUAAGAAAACUACAAAAAAACAGAAAGUAAAAGAAAAAGAAAGGGGACACAAGGGAUUAGGGCGUACCAGAAAAAUCGAGUGGUGCAAUAGUGGUGGUGAUUCAGAUAGUGGUGGAUAAAGCUUUGACGUUGGACAUGCUAUUCUCGUUGCUGGCUUGUCAUUAUAAACUCCAAUAAAAUUGAAGUCGAAUAACGAACUCAACAACAAGAAAAGCUCGUUCGAGCCAAAGUAGAAGCGGCCAACAACCCAUCGUAAUUGAGGCCCCGGAGUUUCGACUUCAAACCAAAAAAGAAUGGUAGAUUGGGGGAAGAACUACACACUUAUGUAGGUAUUAAGUGGUGGUGAGGUCUGAAACUUGACAAAUCUAAGGAAAAAUAGGCGGUUAGGGUUUCGGUUCUUUCGAAGAUUUAUGGCGUUUGAGAAGGAUUCAAGGGAUUUGGGGCUUGGAUUAGGGGAGAGGAGGAGAGAUGAAGAGAUUGGCCUUAGUUGGAGGGUAUUUUUUCAACGGAAGACAGCGUUGCUGCCAUGGGGGACGGAAGCGACGACAUGAGGAAAAGAAGAGAGGAGAGGGGCUUCUAGGGUUUGGGUUAUGGAGAAAUGGCCAAAUUUUCUGAUUUUAGAGGGCUUAUAUACCUCUUCAGAGAUCAAAU